GACGAACGCUGGCGGCGUGCUUAACACAUGCAAGUCGAACGGAAAGGCCCUGCUUUUGUGGGGUGCUCGAGUGGCGAACGGGUGAGUAACACAUGAGUAACCUGCCCUUGACUUUGGGAUAACUUCAGGAAACUGGGGCUAAUACCGGAUAGGAGCUCCUGCUGCAUGGUGGGGGUUGGACAGUUUCGGCGGUUGGGGAUGGACUCGCGGCUUAUCAGCUUGUUGGUGGGGUAGUGGCUUACCAAGGCUUUGACGGGUAGCCGGCCUGAGAGGGUGACCGGCCACAUUGGGACUGAGAUACGGCCCAGACUCCUACGGGAGGCAGCAGUGGGGAAUAUUGCACAAUGGGCGGAAGCCUGAUGCAGCAACGCCGCGUGCGGGAUGACGGCCUUCGGGUUGUAAACCGCUUUCGCCUGUGACGAAGCGUGAGUGACGGUAAUGGGUAAAGAAGCACCGGCUAACUACGUG
rnacentral:rRNA from 1 species